UACGUAGGGUGCGAGCGUUGUCCGGAAUUAUUGGGCGUAAAGAGCUCGUAGGCGGUGUGUCACGUCGGCCGUGAAAACCUGCAGCUUAACUGUGGGCGUGCGGUCGAUACGGGCAUCACUGGAGUUCGGCGGGGGAGACUGGAAUUCCUGGUGUAGCGGUGAAAUGCGCAGAUAUCAGGAGGAACACCGGUGGCGAAGGCGGGUCUCUGGGCCGGUACUGACGCUGAGGCGCGAAAGCGUGGGGAGCAAACAGG
rnacentral:rRNA from 1 species